GGGUGAGGUAGAGGCGCGGUAUCUAUCAGUAACUAUAUGGAGGCCGGAAACCAUUGAAGUAUAGUGAAAGGAGCUGCCGCCGAAGUCUCAAGUAUCCAAAACUUGAGGCUGGGCCUGCAUCGAAUAGGUGUAGGACUGUCAUCAGGGUAAUUGCCCGUUAUUCUGAUGGAGCGCUAUCUCACAC
rnacentral:ncRNA from 1 species